UCUCCGUAGGUGAACCUGCGGAAGGAUCAUUACUGAGUGAGGGCCCUCUGGGUCCAACCUCCCACCCGUGUUUAUUGUACCUUGUUGCUUCGGUGAGCCCACCUCACGGCCGCCGGGGGGCAUCUGCCCCCGGGCCCGCGCUCGCCGAGGACACCCUUGAACUCUGUCUGAAGUUUGCAGUCUGAGCGAAAACUAAAUAAGUUAAAACUUUCAACAACGGAUCUCUUGGUUCCG
rnacentral:misc_RNA from 1 species